AUGUUUAAGAAGAAAAGAAGAAAAGUCAGGAUGGGAAGUUUUCUGGUUUCCUGCAUUGUAGAAGAGGCUCUGCAGCGUGAACAGCUACUCACUUUCUGGAGCAAUGUCAAGCAGAGAAGACCUCGUCUGUUGUCCCCUGCUGCAAGGACAGACAGGAGCUGCAUGCCACCUGAGUUCAUUAGUAGGUCAGAUUACCUGCAGGAGGCAAGUAGACACCAAGCCCGGGUCCCAGUGACAACACUGACCUUAAGCAUUCCUGGAACUGUGGUCUCAUGAAUAAGGAAACUCGCAUUGUGCACAAAGAAUGUGAAAAAACAUUUGCCUACAGAACUGAUCCUGUAAGUAAAGCUGCUGUAAAGCUUUACGCUUUCAGACUCAGUCUAACCCAUGAAGUCUCAGCCAACAUGUCAGUUGUUACAAAAGGCACUUGUGAUAUUCACUGUGCUUCUAAAAUGAGGUUGCUUUUUGUGAAAGUGCAGUGACCAGUAACACAAGCUCGUCGGAUGCAUUAUGUCUUGACACCCAUCCAGGUAAAGCAGCAGAGAUGACGGAUAGUUUGGCAGAACUAGUGCAGUUAGCAUAUGAAAGGAUAUCUAUA
rnacentral:lncRNA from 1 species